GGCUUGAUGAUGAUUGUCUCUUAUGAUUGCUUUUGCAAAGUGAUCAAAUAAUUUCACCGGCACUGAAAGCA